CGAAAGGCGUAGUCGAUGGGAAACAGGUUAAUAUUCCUGUACUUGGUGUUACUGCGAAGGGGGGACGGAGAAGGCUAUGUUGGCCGGGCGACGGUUGUCCCGGUUUAAGCGUGUAGGCUGGUUUUCCAGGCAAAUCCGGAAAAUCAAGGCUGAGGCGUGAUGACGAGGCACUACGGUGCUGAAGCAACAAAUGCCCUGCUUCCAGGAAAAGCCUCUAAGCAUCAGGUAACAUCAAAUCGUACCCCAAACCGACACAGGUGGUCAGGUAGAGAAUACCAAGGCGCUUGAGAGAACUCGGGUGAAGGAACUAGGCAAAAUGGUGCCGUAACUUCGGGAGAAGGCACGC
rnacentral:rRNA from 1 species